rnacentral:lncRNA from 1 species
AUGAGAUUUUACAAAAUAAGACCAUACCACACUUUCCUAUUUCCCUGAUGCCUAGAACAGUUCCUUAACAUAGGAGGUAGGUUACAAAGGUUUAUUGAAUGAAAGGAUAUGACUUGUAAAUGUAUAUUUUGUGUCUACUAUUUAAGAUCCACAAAGAAAUCAUCAAAGCCAUGUGAAAACAUGGUAACCAUUGAUCAAACAAUGUAAUAUUAUCACUAUAGUUUCUCAGUAGGUCACAAUCCCUCAAGACUCCGCAGUCAAAAUGGAACUCUACAUUGUUUCAUAGCCUCUUUUUUAGAUUGGAGUCCAAGAGCUACAUCAGAAGUAAGUGGAGAACCUAGGAAUUGGAGAGGAUAGAGUAAAGAUUGAUCCCAAAGAGCAAAGACCAUUCAUCUAAACUUAGAAACAGAAAAGUGGAAUGUAUGACAUUGAAGAGAGUGUCCAAACAUAGCAUCAAAAAGAUUUAUUUUCUUCAUCAGUACUGAAUGAUUCCUGACAACCAUCUAGCAGCAUUAUUUGUGGGUUGUUCUCUAACACCUCACCCCAAUAUAUAUAUAUAGUAAAGUAACACUGAUAAGUUAAGGUAAACAAGAUAUCUAAAUACCAUUACACAAAAAUCAGGGGUCUGUGAUGGCUGAACAAAUUGCCCUAUGUACUAGAGAGGGGAAAUCAGAAGAUGUCACACCAGGAAGUAGUUGAAUGAAAGAAGCUGAAUCUUGAGCCCCCCUUCCCUCUCUACUUCCUGUUCUUCCUUUCACCAAGCAACCUAAUGGAGGUUUUCUUCACAGAUGAAAAGUAAUGGACAAGGGUGGAAUGAAAGGGACCACAUAGUUCACUGUACAUCUCCUUUCUUAAAGAAGUCUCAUCCACUGCUGAGCUUUGAUGAAGGACAUUAGCUUGGUAUGGAAGCAAGAGGAUGUGAUUUCAUGAAGAAAACUAUCUCUCAUAACAAAACCUGCCAAGGAAAGAGAAGGGAGGGAGUAGGAGAAAGCAGUUCCCCCAAAGCUACCCACAUCAAAAAUGAACAACUAAAACAGUCCUGUAUAGAGGCAAUUAGGAAGCAUAAUGGAUCGAGUGCCAGGAGUCAUAGGAUCUGGUUUCAAAUCUGGCCUCAGCCACUUCUUAGCUGGAUGACUCUGGGAGAGUUCCUUGUGGGGGAUACCCCUGCCUUUGAACAUCAUGAGGACAAUUCAUCAUGGAUCCAGGGGCCCAGAUCGCAUCAUUAUGCUGUAACCAUAAUAAUCUUAAAUUGCAUUAAGAAAGAUCUAUUAUUCAGGACAAGGGGGUAAUGAUCCCAUUGUACUUUGACUUGGUCAGACCAUUCAUAGCUAGGUUAAUACAUUUAAUUCUGGGCACCAAUAAAACAACAUAGUCUAUCCA